UACGGGGGGGAGCAAGCGUUGUUCGGAUUUACUGGGCGUAAAGGGCGUGUAGGCGGCCACCGCAAGUCGGUUGUGAAAUCUCCGGGCUUAACCCGGAAAGGUCAACUGAUACUGCGGGGCUAGAGUGCAGAAGGGGCAACUGGAAUUCUCGGUGUAGCGGUGAAAUGCGUAGAUAUCGAGAGGAACACCUGCGGCGAAGGCGGGUUGCUGGGCUGACACUGACGCUGAAACGCGAAAGCUAGGGGAGCGAACGGG
rnacentral:rRNA from 1 species